UCCGGGUGACAGUGUGAGAGGUACUAGGUUUCGACAAGUUUGCAUCAUGUGGGAGUAUAAGCUGGUUGUUCUUAGCUCAGGAGGUGUUGGAAAAUCUCUCUGUACAGUUUGUUCAAGGAAUUUUUGUUGAAAAAUAUGAUCCUACAAUAGAAGAUUCUUAUAGAAAGCAAGUUGAAGUAGAUGCACAGCAGUGUAUGCUUGAAAUUUUGGAUACUGCAGGAAUGGAACAAUUUACAGCAAUGAGGGAUUUGUACAUGCAAAAUGGACAAGGCUUUGCUUGAGUUUAUUCCAUCACAGCACAGUACACAUUUAAUGACUUACAAGAUCUAAGAGAGCAGAUUCUUCGAGUUAAAGACACUCAUGACAUUCCAAUGAUCCUCGUUGGUAAUAAGUGUGACUUGGAAGAUGAAAGGGUUGUAGGAAAGGAACAAGGUCAAAAUCUAGCAAGACAAUGGAACAACUGUGCGUCCUUAGAAUCUUCUGCAAAAUCAAAAAUAAAUGUUAAUAGAUUUUUUAUGACCUAGUGCGGCAAAUUAACAGAAAAACUCCAGUACCUGGAAAGGCUUGCAAAAAGUCGUCAUGUCAGCUGCUUUAAUAAAUUAAAUGCAUUGUAGCUCUGAGCCAGGUCUGAAGAACUGUUGCCCAAUU